GAGUUUGAUCAUGGCUCAGGACGAACGCUGGCGGCGUGCUUAACACAUGCAAGUCGGACGGUCUGUAUAUUGAAAGCUUGCUGGAUAUGUACGGAUAGUGGCGGACGGGUGAGUAACGCGUGAAUACCUGGCCAUCGGAGGGGGACAACGGCUGGAAACGGUCGCUAAUACCGCGUAAGCCGUAAGGUGAAAGGCCACGGGAGUGGCUGCCGAUGGAUGGGUUCGCGUCCUAUCAGCUGGUUGGUGGGGUAAGGGCCUACCAAGGCUAAGACGGGUAGCCGGUCUGAGAGGGUGAUCGGCCACACUGGAACUGAGAUACGGUCCAGACUCCUACGGGAGGCAGCAGUGGGGAAUAUUGGGCAAUGGGGGCAACCCUGACGCAGCAACGCCGCGUGAGUGAAGAAGGCCCUUGGGUCGUAAAACUCUGUCAAUGGGGAAGAAGUUAUUGCAUAUUAAUAGUAUGUAGUAUUGACGGUACCCAUGAAGGAAGCACCGGCUAACUCCGUGCCAGCAGCCGCGGUAAA
rnacentral:rRNA from 1 species